GAUGAACGCUGGCGGCGUGCCUAAUACAUGCAAGUCGAGCGAAUGGAUUAAGAGCUUGCUCUUAUGAAGUUAGCGGCGGACGGGUGAGUAACACGUGGGUAACCUGCCCAUAAGACUGGGAUAACUCCGGGAAACCGGGGCUAAUACCGGAUAACAUUUUGAACCGCAUGGUUCGAAAUUGAAAGGCGGCUUCGGCUGUCACUUAUGGAUGGACCCGCGUCGCAUUAGCUAGUUGGUGAGGUAACGGCUCACCAAGGCAACGAUGCGUAGCCGACCUGAGAGGGUGAUCGGCCACACUGGGACUGAGAUACGGCCCAGACUCCUACGGGAGGCAGCAGUAGGGAAUCUUCCGCAAUGGACGAAAGUCUGACGGAGCAACGCCGCGUGAGUGAUGAAGGCUUUCGGGUCGCAAAACUCUGUUGUUAGGGAAGAACAAGUGCUAGUUGAAUAGGCUGGCACCUUGACGGUACCUAACCAGAAAGCCACGGCUAACUACGUGCCAGCCGCCGCCGUAA
rnacentral:rRNA from 1 species